rnacentral:lncRNA from 1 species
CUCUAAAUCUGCAGAACAGUGCCUCCCUUUCUUUAAGACCCUCAACCAAAUGAAAGACUUUACUUGGAUGGAAGAAUGUCAAAAGUCCUUCGACGAGUUGAAGUAAUACCUCAGCUCUCCUUCACUUUUGACUAAACCCAGCACCGAUAAUGAAUUACUCAUGUAUGUAGCAACCACUACUAAAGCCAUCAGCUCGGUGCUGAUAUGAGAAGAAUACAAAGUGCCAAAGCCUGUCUACUAUGUA